rnacentral:lncRNA from 1 species
ACAACUAAAACAACAACAACAACAACAACAACAAAAACCUCAACAACAACAACAACAACAACCACCACCACAACAACAACAACUAUAACAACAACAACAACAACAACAACCACCACCACCAAAACAACAACAACUAUAACAACAACAACAACAACAACAAAGACGACGACGACGACAACGACGACAACAAUGACAACGACG